GACCGCAUAACGUAGUGGGGUCUAGCGCAUUUGACUUCGGAUCAAAAGGUCUUGUGUUCGACUCCCAUUGUAGUCG
rfam:Picea glauca, whole genome shotgun sequence.